UACGUAGGUCCCGAGCGUUGUCCGGAUUUAUUGGGCGUAAAGCGAGCGCAGGUGGUUUAUUAAGUCUGAUGUGAAAACCCGAGGCUCAACCACGGGAGUGCAUUGGAAACUGGCGGGCUGGAGUGCCGGAGAGGUAAGCGGAAUUCCUAGUGUAGCGGUGAAAUGCGUAGAUAUUAGGAGGAACACCAGUGGCGAAGGCGGCUUACUGGACGGCAACUGACGCUGAGGCUCGAAAGCGUGGGGAGCAAACAGG
rnacentral:rRNA from 1 species